rnacentral:rRNA from 1 species
CCUACGGGUGGCAGCAGUGAGGAAUAUUGGUCAAUGGACGAGAGUCUGAACCAGCCAAGUCGCGUGAAGGAUGACUGCCCUAUGGGUUGUAAACUUCUUUUAUAUGGGAAUAAAAUGUUCCACGUGUGGGAUUUUGUAUGUACCAUAUUAAUAAGGAUCGGCUAACUCCGUGCCAGCAGCCGCGGUAAUACGGAGGAUCCGAGCGUUAGCCGGAUUUAUUGGGUUUAAAGGGAGCGUAGGUGGAUUGUUAAGUCAGUUGUGAAAGUUUGCGGCUCAACCGUAAAAUUGCAGUUGAAACUGGCAGUCUUGAGUACAGUAGAGGUGGGCGGAAUUCGUGGUGUAGCGGUGAAAUGCUUAGAUAUCACGAAGAACUCCGAUUGCGAAGGCAGUUCACUGGACUGCAACUGACACUGAGGCUCGAAAGUGUGGGUAUCAAACAGGAGUAGAUACCCCUGUAGUC